CUCCGUAGGGUGAACCUGCGGAGGGAUCAU
rnacentral:rRNA from 2 species